UACGUAGGUGACAAGCGUUGUCCGGAUUUACUGGGCGUAAAGAGCGCGCAGGCGGUCGUUCAAGUCGAGUGUGAAAGCCCCCGGCUCAACUGGGGAGGGUCACUCGAUACUGAUCGACUCGAAGGCAGGAGAGGGAAGUGGAAUUCCCGGUGUAGUGGUGAAAUGCGCAGAUAUCAGGAGGAACACCGGUGGCGAAGGCGGUUCUCUGGGCCUUACCUGACGCUGAGGAGCGAAAGCGUGGGGGAGCAAACAGG
rnacentral:rRNA from 1 species